AUUUAGCCCAGACAAAGCUGUCACAUUCCUAUGCUGCUCUCCAAUCAUCAAUGGCCAUCGAAACCUACAGAAAAAAAAGAAAGAUUUAUCACAGAGGUAGCAGAAGACGAUAUUUCGUCAACAAUCUGGAAUCACAAACAGAUGAGACACAAAAGCAAAUGUCAUGCUGCCUUCCCCUCAUUGUAGAAGGCUAGAAGCAUUAUUACCUUGGGGAUUUCGUCUGUUGUGAUGUGCUGUGAUGCUGCGGUGUGGAUUUUUCAUUUUUGGGUGAAGACGAGAUACAAAUUUGAAGGGGAGAAUAUUAUGAGAAAAUGUGAAAGAUGCAUGAAGCCUGUACUGUCAACUAUUGUGUUAAAAAUCCUGGUAUCCUACUGAAUAUGUCAUCCAAAUGACAGAGUGGAUUCAUAUCACUAUUAUCGGCUGAAUCAUUCUAUGGAACUUGCCAGAUCACCAACCCCACGCAUGGACCAAUCUCUCAUUCCAUCUUCUAGAGAACCUUGGAUAACUGAUUGGUGGUUUAGUGUGUUCUUAGGUUUCUAAUGUUGCAUGCAUUUUAUGAGAAGUCACUGUCCAUUGAAGAAAAAGGACUGACUAUACAGUCAAGGUAACCUGUUGGCUGCUACCCUUGAAUAUCCCAUUUUACUUUAUGAAAGUGUAAACGGGCCAUCUUGAUUUGAGGGUAACUCCUUCGCUGCUUAUCGUGGACUUCAUUCAUUGGUGAAAACCAAUGACAAUCAGGAGGAAAAGAGUGCGCUGGUCGAACGGGGACUUCCAGUCGGAAGCCUACUUUAUGAUUAAUCGCUCUGGUAGUAACUGUUCCUCAACUCUUCGCUCUUUUUCCGGUUUCUCCUACCAUCUCCCUGCCUGCAGUCAAUUAAGGCAGUGUCUCCCCCUGUCUUGAUUGACUCCAUGUGCGAAUUUUAAAAGCAGUUGAUCACCCAAAUGAGAAAAAAGAGUUAGGUUUGUUUUAUUUGGGUAAAAAUUGUUUUAAAACUUGUAGCUUGUACCUAUAAAACAAU